rnacentral:ncRNA from 1 species
UUUAUUGAGAGUUUGAUCCUGGCUCAGGAUUAACGCUGGCGGCAUGCCUAAGACAUGCAAGUCGAACGGAACACCCCACUGAAAUCUGAAUGAAGUCUGAGAGCUUGCUCAAAGAUGGAAUGACGGUGGACGUGGAUUCUGUGUUCAGUGGCGAACGGGUGAGUAACACGUGGGUUACCUGCCUCUAAGUUGGGGACAACAGUUGGAAACGACUGCUAAUACCGAAUGUGAUAGUAAUAUUAAAGGAGCCUUUAAAGCUUCGCUUAGAGAUGGGCCUGCGGCGUAUUAGCUAGUUGGUGGGGUAAUGGCCUACCAAGGCGACGAUGCGUAGCCGGACUGAGAGGUUGAUCGGCCACACUGGGACUGAGACACGGCCCAGACUCCUACGGGAGACAGCAGUUAGGAAUAUUCGGCAAUGGGGGAAACCCUGACCGAGCAAUGCCGCGUGUGAGAUGAAGGUCCUUCGGAUUGUAAAUCACUUUUAUUUGGGAAGAACUGUAAGUAGAGGAAAUGAUACUUACUUGACGGUACCUUUUGAAUAAGCCCCGGCUAACUACGUGCCAGCAGCCGCGGUAAUACGUAGGGGGCGAGCGUUAUCCGGAUUUAUUGGGCGUAAAGCGUGCGUAGGCGGUUUAUUAAGUCUAGAAUUAAAGCCCGAGGCUUAACCUCGGUUCGUUCUAGAUACUGGUUGACUAGAGUACAGUAGAGGCAAAUGGAAUUCCUAGUGUAGCGGUGGAAUG